rnacentral:rRNA from 1 species
AUUGAACGCUGGCGGCAUGCCUUACACAUGCAAGUCGAACGGCAGCAAGGGUGCUUGCCCCUGGUGGCGAGUGGCGAACGGGUGAGUAAUACAUCGGAACAUGUCCUGUAGUGGGGGAUAGCCCGGCGAAAGCCGGAUUAAUACCGCAUACGAUCUACGGAUGAAAGCGGGGGACCUUCGGGCCUCGCGCUAUAGGGUUGGCCGAUGGCUGAUUAGCUAGUUGGUGGGGUAAAGGCUUACCAAGGCGACGCUCAGUAGCUGGUCUGAGAGGACGACCAGCCACACUGGGACUGAGACACGGCCCAGACUCCUACGGGAGGCAGCAGUGGGGAAUUUUGGACAAUGGGCGAAAGCCUGAUCCAGCAAUGCCGCGUGUGUGAAGAAGGCCUUCGGGUUGUAAAGCACUUUUGUCCGGAAAGAAAUCCUUGGCCCUAAUACGGUCGGGGGAUGACGGUACCGGAAGAAUAAGCACCGGCUAACUACGUG